ACUAUCGUUGCUAUGGAAGGAAAUAUUGAAUUGUGAAUUUUUUCAAGAAAAACUAUACGAAAAAUCUAAAAAGGUAGUGAAAUAUUCACUGACAUAAAGUUCACGAAACUCAUACCAAAAUGUUGUGAAUUGGAUAGCAGUGAACUGUGUGGAAUACUUUGUAGUCCAAAUAAUCAAUGGUGAAGAAGACUUUGAUUUUAAAUUCACCAAAGACAAAAACCAAUAAAGAGUUCGUUUUCACAAGUAUUGAAGAAGAAGAAAAGAAUAAUUUAAAGAGGAUAACAGAAUACAAGUCUUUACAGCAAUGCGAGUAUCCGGAGACCGGAAAACAUACUUCUUCUGACCUGCAGGCAGAGUCAUUAUACUAUACAACUAAUUGGAAAAACCCAUUUGAUGAACAGACAAUUUUUAAAUCCGGAAAAAGUACCUCCUCGAGCGGGACCCGAACCCGCAAUCUUCGGAUCACUAGUCUAGUGCUCUACCAAGCGAGCUACCGAGGAAGUUGAAAGUUCUAAACGGAUAUCGAGGAACCCCUGUCGGAAAGCCAUAAUAUAUUAUGCUAUUAUAAUUGAUUUCAGAUGUGACAAACCAAUUUUUCACAUUUGGUAAAAUCCCAUGUAUCAUUGUGAUAUACAUAUCUGAAAACAUAAGUUGAAUCCAAUUUCAUAUUAAUUCAAAUAAAGAAUGUUAACUGUGUUAUUUAUUAUAAUUUUGUUAAUUGAAAUUUAUUAAAUAUAUUAUUUUUUUCUUUAAAUUUUGCCCAAGGGUCAUAAAGGUUUCAGAUAAUGCACUGAAUAAUGAUUUUGGCAAAAUCAAAAUAUCAAACUGGUAUGACAUAAUAAUUUAAAUGUCAAUUUUCCAAUCAAUUGGCCGAUGACAAGUCAGCGAAAAGUUUUUUCUGAAAUUGUAUGCAUUUUAACAACGAAUCCAAAUUAAGUCUACUUCCAUCAGAGCAUUAAUGCUUUUUUUUAUCUUAAUUUUUAUUUCCGUAAGAUAAGUUUUCCGUCAACAACAUGUUGCCAUAAAUUAUCAAUUUUUAAUUAACGAAAUAAUUUUUUUGAAUAAAUUUUGAAGAAAUAAAAUUCUUUCACCUAAAAUCAAUAUCAAGAUCAAUUUUCGACAACUAGGGACCAAAACAAUAAAAAAUGUCUAGCAUUUUAUUCAAUAAGUAUUUGUACUACAUAUUUGUUGUAUUCCCAAAAAUAAUAAUUGAUUGAAAUAACAUAUGGGGACCUUAAGAGCCAUGCCAAUUCUUGGGAAUUGGUCUUUAUACCAUAGCAAGUGGCGGAUUUACCAGCAGGCUGUAUAGGCUGAAGCCUAUGGCGGCAAAUUUUGAGCGCCGGCAGAUUGAGUUUAUUAAUUUUUAUUUUGAUUCACAGAAUAAAAAAAAACUACACACUAAGUACGAAUUUCGAAAAUUGGAGAUUAGCCUGUAGGCUAACUUUUGCCACAUCUCUGAAGCCUACAGACUAAGUGUAAUCUGUAAAUCUGCCACUGUCUACAUGGCAUGAAAUUAUAGGAAAAAUCGAAAAUGAGUAAAAAAAUACUUUCUUGUCAUCAGUUACUACAUUAUGAAGUAGAAAGCGUAGACAUCACAGAACACAUAAUGAGAUAAACCAAGUCAAAAUCAUGAGUUGGACACAUUUUUUCAGUAGAUGAGUAAACAUUUUUUUUUGAAAAUUGUUGUUGAAAAACUCAAAUCAAAUUAAGUUAUUAGUUUCCACUAUCUACCUAGUUUAAGAAAUGAAGAAUAUUAAAACAUAAGAUUUGAA